rnacentral:rRNA from 1 species
AGUUUGAUUCUGGCUUCAGGAUGAAACGCUAGCGGGCAGGUUUAACACAUGCAAGUCGAGGGGCAGCAUGUCCAGCAAUGGAUGAUGGCGACCGGCGGAAGGGUGCGUAACGCGUGAGCAACAUGCCCUAUACAGGGAGAUACACCAGGGAAACUUGGUCUAAUAUCCCAUAGCAUUCAUUGAAGGCAUCUUUAAUGAAUUAAAGCUUCGGUGGUAUAGGAUUGGCUCGCGUGACAUUAGCCAGAUGGUGAGGUAACGGCUCACCAUAGCAAUGAUGUCUAGGGGUUUUGAGAGGAAGGCCCCCCACACUGGGACUGAGACACGGCCCAGACUCCUACGGGAGGCAGCAGUGAGGAAUAUUGGACAAUGGAUGGAAAUCUGAUCCAGCCAUGCCGCGUGCAGGAAGACGGCCUUAUGGGUUGUAAACUGCUUUUAUACGGGAGCAAUAAGGGUUACGAGUAAUCCGAUGAGAGUACUGUAUGAAUAAGGAUCGGCUAACUCCGUGCCAGCAGCCGCGGUAAUACGGAGGAUCCGAGCGUUAUCCGGAAUUAUUGGGUUUAAAGGGUGCGUAGGCGGCCAUUUAAGUCAGCGGUGAAAUUUUGCAGCUUAACUGUAACAGUGCCGUUGAUACUGUUUGGCUAGGAUUUGGUUGUAGUGUGCGGAAUGUGUGGUGUAGCGGUGAAAUGCUUAGAUAUCACACAGAACACCGAUUGCGAAGGCAGCACACUAAGUCAUUAUUGACGCUGAGGCACGAAAGUGUGGGGAUCAAACAGGAUUAGAUACCCUGGUAGUCCACACUGUAAACGAUGAUAACUCGCUGUCGGCGAUACACAGUCGGGGCCAAGCGAAAGC